CUGGCUGGUCAAACGGAACCAAGCCCGUCUUCCUCGGAGGUUUGGUCCCCUUCAACCAGCUAUAGCAGUG
ensembl:miRNA